rnacentral:rRNA from 1 species
UAUGUGAUCGUCUCUCGCAUAUCAAUAAGCGGAGGAAAAGAAACUAACAAGGAUUCCCCUAGUAACGGCGAGUGAAGCGGGAAGAGCUCAAAUUUGAAAUCUUAAAGGGUUUCCCUUUACGAAUUGUAGUUUAAAGAAGUGUUUUCUGUUGAGGUUUUGGUAAAAGUUCUUUGGAAUAGGACAUCAUAGAGGGUGAGAAUCCCGUAUUUGACCUUUACUUUCAACUUUGUGAUACACUUUCAAAGAGUCGGAUUGUUUGGGAAUGCAGUCCAAAAUGGGUGGUAAAUUUCAUCUAAAGCUAAAUAUUGGCGAGAGACCGAUAGCGAACAAGUACCGUGAGGGGAAAGAUGAAAAGAACUUUGAAAAGAGAGUUAAACAGUACGUGAAAUUGUCAAAAGGGAAGCGUUUGACACCAGUGUUGUUUUUCUGAAAAUCAAUUAAAGAACUGUUUAUGCUAAGCUGUUUAGACUUUAUCAGCUAACUGUUUAGUUUUGAGCUUUUCUUUAAUGCACUUUUCAGUUAACAAGUCAACAUCAAUUUCUUUUGCUGUAAAAAAGCUUGAGGAAGGUGGCUUGAGAUUCGUCUUAAGUGUUUAUAGGCCUCUUGCCUAUGCAGUCGGAGAGAUUGAGGUCUGCAGCGUAGAUCCUUCGGGGCUAAAUGCAUUUGUGCUAAGUUAUAGCAUUUUAUAGACAACUUGUUGACUAUGAUUUGUCUUGUAGCUUACUCGCUUAUGUUAUUUUACCUACGCUUAGGAUGUUGAGUAGCGACAUACGCAC